rnacentral:tRNA from 1 species
GUGACUGUGGCUCAGAGGAAGAGCGCUUGCCUUGCAUGCGUGAGGCACUGGGUUCAAUCCACAGCACCACA